UUUCAUGAUUAAGCAUUAUUUUAGUUGUAACAUGAUUAUAUUCAGGAAGUGCCUCCUAAGUAUAAGGCUCCUGCAACAGCUAUGAAAAAAGAAAGAUUCUAGUGAAAGUGAGUCAGAGACUGAUUCUGAGGUUGAGGUAUGUAUAUAAACAAUUGAUGUUGUAAACAUUUGCGUAUUAUGUGUUUUGUUAUUUUGUUCACCUUAUUUAUGAACUCCUUAGGAUGCAAGUAAAACUCAGCCUGCCAAGAGAGCUGGACGAGAAGGCAAAGAUGGAGAGCAAGCUGUCCUCGGCGGUGGCAUUCGUGGAGGGGGACGUGCAGGACGCCUGUAGCAUCUGCCUCGACGCCUUCUGCGACAGCAACCCCUCCGUGAUGACCAAUUGCAAGCAUGACUACCAUCUCCAGUGCAUUCUUGAAUGAUGAACCUCAUACAAUGUUGGAAUAGCAGAACUCGAGGAAGCUGCAUGCGGACCUCGACCAGCCAGAUGUUGCCUCCGCGAAGCUCCUGCCAUGUCUCGAGAUGUUCAGACAGGGAGCAGAGGAACAAGAGAAUGGUGAACAAAGACGAGGUGAUCAUGCCGGAAGUGUCCGUUAUCUGGCAGUCAAUCUGUAGGCUGUUCGAGGAAGGUCUCCGGAACAUGGAGUGGUUGACUAGCGAUGGUGCAAAUGUCGUUGCCGAGAUAGAGUACGGCGUCCUUGAACACCUCAUACGUGAGAUGGUGGACGAACUCCUCCGAGGAGUGUCUGAACCCGCACAACAUCCUCUCCCACUCCGACCCGUCUCGAAGAAACUGCUGGGUGGCAAGAAUGUUGAGACAAGACGAGCAAUCGGAUGCUACUGAUUACUGAACGAGGUUAGAUUGAUUGAUGUAACCAUCAUUCACUGACUUGUAAGUCUGGUCUUGGUUAAUACAUCAAGCUCACUGAAACAAGUGGAUAUGCAAACAGAGUAGCUAGCAUAGGCACAGAUAUUGUUGAACCUGAAGAUGUACGCCAGGAUCUGCACUCUCUGUACUGCCAAGGUCUGAACUCUGUAACUGUACAGGAGUUCACUCUCUGCUUCGGCUCCAUGUACUAGCAGCACUUGAAUGACGAAUGGCGUCUGGAUUAUUUUGGAAUAAACUGCUGCAAACAAUUGCUCGUAUAUAUGGCAGGUGCGUGUGGUAGAUGAACUGGUGAUUUUAGGUUUGGCAAGCUCCAGUGAAGUUUAAACCAUGUUUCUAUGACAAAAGUAAACAACCUGUGAACUUGAUGUAUUUCUUUCUUUAAUAAAACGGUAUACAGCUCUUCUGCUUGAUAUGAAAACAAGCAAACACAGACACCAGUAUAGGUUUUUCUUGAUGUGGACAAUGUAGUAGAGCAUGAUGUUUCUUUAUGAGGCAUGUCACGCUCUAACAUUUUAUCAGACUUGCCCCUAUCCUCGCGUCUGUUACAUGUGCGCGCCGCGGAAGCCGCCUAGGAGCUCGCCCGAGGCCGUUCCUACUUCGACUGGAUUUAUUCCGUGCCUGGGGGAUUUACACGAGGCA